UCAGUGAAACUGAUCUUCCCGUGAAGAAGCGGGAAUAUACCUAUAAGACGAGAAGACCCCAUGGAGCUUUAAAUCCAACAGCACCUAUUACCCAUAUAUCUUUAUAUUUUUUUAGCAAAUGCUCGUUCGGUUUUAGGUUGGGGUGACCAUGGAGUAAAAAAUAACCUCCACGAAAAAAGGCAUAAAACCCUUAUCAAAGAGCCACAUCUCUAUGAAUUAGUAAACUAAUUUCUGAUGAUCCGAUAUUCGAUCAACGAACCAAGUUACCCUGGGGAUAACAGCGCAAUCCGCCUUAAGAGCCCCUAUCGACAGGCGGGUUUACGACCUCGAUGUUGGAUCAGGGUAUCCCAGUGGUGCAACAGCUACUAAAGGUUCGUUUGUUCAACGAUUAAAACCCU
rnacentral:rRNA from 1 species